rnacentral:rRNA from 1 species
ACUUUCAACAACGGAUCUCUUGGUUCUCGCAUCGAUGAAGAACGCAGCGAAAUGCGAUAAGUAGUGUGAAUUGCAGAAUUCCGUGAAUCAUCGAAUCUUUGAACGCACAUUGCGCCUCCUGGUAAUUGGGGAGGCAUGCCUGUCCGAGCGUCA